rnacentral:rRNA from 1 species
AUUGAACGCUGGCGGCAUGCUUUACACAUGCAAGUCGAACGGUAACAGGCCUUCGGGUGCUGACGAGUGGCGAACGGGUGAGUAAUGCAUCGGAACGUGCCCAAUCGUGGGGGAUAACGUAGCGAAAGUUACGCUAAUACCGCAUAAGCCCUGAGGGGGAAAGCAGGGGAUCGCAAGACCUUGCGCGAAUGGAGCGGCCGAUGUCAGAUUAGCUAGUUGGUGGGGUAAAAGCCUACCAAGCCGACGAUCUGUAGCUGGUCUGAGAGGACGACCAGCCACACUGGGACUGAGACACGGCCCAGACUCCUACGGGAGGCAGCAGUGGGGAAUUUUGGACAAUGGACGCAAGUCUGAUCCAGCAAUGCCGCGUGCAGGACGAAGGCCUUCGGUUGUAAACUGCUUUGUACAGAACGAAAGGGACUCUGGUUAAUACCUGGGCAGAUGACGGUACUGUAAGAAUAAGCACCGGCUAACUACGUGCCAGCAGCCGACGG